UACGUAGGGGGCAAGCGUUAUCCGGAUUUACUGGGUGUAAAGGGAGCGCAGACGGAACUGCAAGUCUGAUGUGAAAGCCCGGGGCUCAACCGCGGGACUGCAUCGGAUACUGUGGAUCUGGAGUGCCGGAGGGGCAAGCGGAAUUCCUGGUGUAGUGGUGAAAUGCGUAGAUAUCAGGAGGAACACCGGCGGCGAAGGCGGCUUGCUGGACGGCAACUGACGUUGAGGCUCGAAAGCGUGGGGAGCAAACAGGAUUAGAUACCCGU
rnacentral:rRNA from 1 species